UACGAAGGGGGCUAGCGUUGUUCGGAAUCACUGGGCGUAAAGCGCACGCAGGCGGAUUGAUAAGUCAGGGGUGAAAUCCCGGAGCUCAACUUCGGAAUUGCCUUUGAUACUGUCUGUCUUGAGUCCGGGAGAGGUGAGUGGAAUUCCUAGUGUAGAGGUGAAAUUCGUAGAUAUUCGCAAGAACACCAGUGGCGAAGGCGGCUCACUGGCCCGGUACUGACGCUGAGGCACGAAAGCGUGGGGGAGCAAACAGG
rnacentral:rRNA from 1 species